CUGCUCCAAUGACUCGAGUGACUCGAGCUAGGUGACCCGCGUUUCAUGGGAGCUUUUGACAGUUCAUCACCCGGUCGCCAUCUUUGAUUUUUCUAGCCCGGGUCAGGAAUCGUGACCCGACCAAAUAGUACGGGCUACGAAGUUCUAGCUCGAGUCACCCGGAAUCGGAGCGCUCCUAUUGGUUGAAAGUUUCGCGUCGUCUGCUCUGGUCUGCAGUCAAGUAAACAACACAACUAAAUGCAAAUAUGGAGGAUUAUUACGAAUACAAACAUGAGUUUGUUUUUGAAGGCAUAUUUUAUAAAAUAAUUGGAAAGGAGGAAAUUUACACAUUAUUGGCUGGCAGCUUGGACUUCUUCAGUCCUAUCUGAAACAAAACUAUGGCCACAUCGAGAUGGAUGGUUUAGCAGCAGAAGUCACCACAGAGGGUCAUGUGUGGACUAAUGAUGCAACAAAAGUGAAAUUUAUUUGGGAUUAAAAGUUAACAGACCGUUGUACAACCCGGUGAUAAUCUUGUAUUAAAGGAAGUUCUUAUGUAGCAAGCACAAGUUAUGAAGUUGGUAAAGGCUAUUAUUAUUAAUUACAUCAGAGAUGAC
rnacentral:lncRNA from 1 species